rnacentral:rRNA from 1 species
UACGUAGGGGGCGAGCGUUGUCCGGAAUUAUUGGGCGUAAAGAGCUCGUAGGCGGCUUGGCAAGUCGGAUGUGAAAACUCCAGGCUCAACCUGGAGCCGCCAUUCGAUACUGCUAUGGCUAGAGUCCGGUAGGGGAGUGUGGAAUUCCCGGUGUAGCGGUGAAAUGCGCAGAUAUCGGGAGGAACACCGAUGGCGAAGGCAGCACUCUGGGCCGGCACUGACGCUGAGACGCGAAAGCGUGGGGAGCAAACAGG